CAACGCGUUGCCGUAAUCGCAUGCGCAGUUCCCGAUGCAACGCCAUGACAGAUGUGUCGCAGUGACAGAAGGAGCACUGAAUUCGAAGCAUCCGUUGUGAUAGUACGAUUACGAUUGGAAUAAACAUUAUGGAACCGCAGGACGUUUAUUACAGCAAAGCAGAAUACGUCGAGACGGCGUCGGGGAAUAAGGUUAGCAGACAGACUGUUCUAUGCGGCUCCCAAAAUAUUGUUUUACAUGGAAAGGUGAUCGUACAAUCAGACGCCAUUAUUCGUGGCGAUCUGGCGAACGUGCGGACUGGACGUUACUGCAUCAUCAGCAAGAAUGCCAUUAUUAGGCCGCCCUUCAAAAAGUUUAGCAGAGGGGUUGCCUUUUUCCCACUGACGAUGGGGGAUCAUGUGUUUGUCGGAGAACGUGCAGUAGUAAAUGCCGCGAUGGUCGGUUCUUACAUAUACAUUGGAAAAGACGCGGUGAUUGGAAGGAGAAGUAUCCUCAAGGACUGCUGUUAUAUCGAGGACGGCGCUGUGGUACCGCCAGAGACCAUUGUACCUCCGUUUUCCCGGGUCGCCGGCAAUCCCGCGAGAUGCGUCGACGACCUUCCUCAUUGCACCGUCGACCUGAUGCUGGAGUUCACGAAAAAUUACUAUCAACACUUUUUACCGGCCCGAGUUUAACCCCUGCUGUUGUACAUACCUUGUGCAUAGAAAGCGCUAUCGAACACCGGUUCUCCUAGAGGCCAACCGAUCUCCUUGGUCGGCCGGUGUCUCCUACGGAACGUCAGAAAGGAUUAGAAGUGCAGAGAUUUGGAGAAAAGAGCAGGUGGUCCUUUGCGUUGGUUGUACCAGUUGUGCCACAGCAAUUCCAGUAUGAAUACGAACAGACUCAAAAGUGCCCCAUAGCCCAUCGAGACCAACGCGAAGUAGCACUCGGUGAUCCCGAUGCUGAUGAAAUUAAUCUGUCCCUGACACUUGGGCCUGCUCGAGAACAGCAGAUGCUCCUCCCUAUGUUUUAACCCGGUCUCGUGCAGCCGGAGAGCUCUGAAAACCGUCCGAAGCGAUUCACCGGCCGACUCUACGCAACCGGACACCUCCCUACUGCGCCAUCUACGAAUCUUACGCGUUCCUAAUCAGCUCCCUGUACGGCGAUCCUUUCUGAAUCACCAGCAGCGGGUCCUUGUGAUUCAGAAAGUCGAUCUCCUUGAUGCCGCACUUCUCAUCCUCCAGGAACGUGUUCUGUAUAAGGUGGUAGGCAGCGCCCAGAUCGGCGUGCAUCGCAAACAGCUCGGUCCUCAUACGAUGUAUACCUUCGGACAGAUUCAUCCAGGUGUGUUUGCCGCCUUUCGGCUCGAUCUUUUGCUCCACGAUCGCCCUUUUGAUCGGGUCCCGAAAUUUCUACACAGUCGAAGCACCCUUAGAGCUGUCCUAAACCAGAGACUCUAUCGGGCAGCUGCUCUAACCCACCGAGAAGUAGUGACGAGCGUAGACGAUAUCUUGCGCUCCCAACUUCAGCGGACAGGUCAGCAAGUCGUUCGAGGUCUUGAUCAUGUCGGUGGACGACUGAAGCAGGGUCACGAUGUUAGCCGUGUAGGAGGCGUACAGGCUCAUGGCGGCGAUCAGUAGCAUGAGCGUGACGAUGCGGGGCGGAACCCUGUACGGCUCGUAGUAAUAGCCUGUUGGAUUGGCGAGCAGGGCAACAGGAAUGCCUCGAUAAUUGUCGCGCGACAGUCAAUAGUAGGAAUGUACUUCUUGUGGAUCCAUAGACCUUUAACUACCGGAGAACCGCGACAAUUAUGAAAGAGACUAGACUACCUUGUUGGGCCACGGCGCCCAUCAAGACCAUCAGGUUGUCGCUGAACGUCUGCUCCGACGGGUUCAACGACUCCCAGUACUCGGACGUGCCCCUAUAGUACUCCCACUUGGUUGACAAAACCAGCAUGACCAGGACCACCAGCAGGAACACGCCUAUCGCGUGCCAGACGGACCGGUGGAACGGCAACGUGAAAAUGUUGCUCACCGAAGACAGCAGAGGUUUGCGGAAUAUGAAGGCCCAUCUACGAUACAUCUAGUUAUAAAAAUAGAACAAUACCUGGCUCGGAAAUUCGGAAAACCAUGGAACCUUGGGGAUAGCUAGAGCAAAGCUGGACGUACUCCACUACAUCCAGUCGCUCCUUCACGAUGAACAUGCCUGUGCCACCUAUGUCGAUCUCGCGACGCUGCAGCAUCCCCGUUAUCCCACUCCACGAGCCGUUUUCGUUCCCAUACCCCCACGAGUUCGUAGUGCAGAUAUUUAUACUGGAAGGUAAGCGUUGCGAGCUACAUACAUAUAUACAUACAUACUACGUGGUUUACGACGGUAUUCGAACACCUCUUAAAACGUAAUAUCGUUCUCAAAAAAUUUAUAUAUUAUUAGAGGAUAAAAUUUGCUAGUAUACAAAACUGUUGAAUAAGUUGACGUUUUAAUAUUUAAAAGCUUAUAUGAGUUUUAAUAAACAUGAGCUUUUUAUUAUCAGCUA